rfam:Proteus mirabilis strain HI4320, complete genome
GUCACACUUAAACAAGUUCCUUGCCUCCAUGGGUGGUGACUGACCCUGACAGGAGGCUGAUAAAUCCGUAAGGAGCAAUAUCAAAU